rnacentral:rRNA from 1 species
UACGUAGGGGGCGAGCGUUGUCCGGAAUUAUUGGGCGUAAAGCGCGCGCAGGCGGUUUUUUAAGUUCGUGGUGAAAGACCGGGGCUCAACCCCGGAGCGUCCGCGAAGACUGGAAGACUGGAGUGUCGGAGAGGAGUGCGGAAUACCUGGUGUAGCGGUGGAAUGCGUAGAGAUCAGGUGGAACACCGAUGGCGAAGGCAGCACUCUGGCCGAAUACUGACGCUGAGGCGCGAAAGCUAGGGGAGCAAACAGG